UACAGAGGGUGCGAGCGUUGUUCGGAAUUAUUGGGCGUAAAGCGCGCGUAGGCGGCUUUGCAAGUCGGGUGUGAAAGCCCUCAGCUCAACUGAGGAAGUGCGCCCGAAACUGCAGAGCUUGAGUGCCGGAGAGGGUGGCGGAAUUCCCCAAGUAGAGGUGAAAUUCGUAGAUAUGGGGAGGAACACCGGUGGCGAAGGCGGCCACCUGGACGGUGACUGACGCUGAGACGCGAAAGCGUGGGGAGCAAACAGG
rnacentral:rRNA from 1 species